GACGUAGGGGGCCAGCGUUGUUCGGAAUUACUGGGCGUAAAGGGUUCGUAGGCGGUGUGGCAAGUCGGGUGUGAAAUCUCUGGGCUCAACCCAGAGUCUGCUUCCGAAACUGCUGUGCUUGAGUGUGGGAGAGGCGCGUGGAAUUGCAGGUGUAGCGGUGAAAUGCGUAGAUAUCUGCAGGAACACCCGUGGCGAAAGCGGCGCGCUGGACCACUACUGACGCUGAGGAACGAAAGCUAGGGGAGCAAACAGG
rnacentral:rRNA from 1 species